GAUGAACGCUAGCGGCAGGCCUAAUACAUGCAAGUCGAACGAAGCAGCAAUGCUUAGUGGCGCACGGGUGCGUAACACGUAUGUAACCUACCUUUUACUGGGGGGAUAACUUCUCGAAAGAGAAGCUAAUACCGCAUAAUACAUUAAAGUCACCUGAUUUAAAUGUUAAAGAUUUAUUGGUAAAAGAUGGGCAUGCGUCCAAUUAGCUAGUUGGUAGUGUAACGGACUACCAAGGCUACGAUUGGUAGGGGUCUGAGAGGAUGGUCCCCCACACUGGUACUGAGAUACGGACCAGACUCCUACGGGAGCAGCAGUAGGGAAUAUUGGGCAAUGGACGAAAGUCUGACCCAGCCAUGCCGCGUGCAGGAUGAAGGCCCUCUGGGUUGUAAACUGCUUUUGACAGGGAAGAAAUACACCAUGCGUGUGGGCUGACGGUACCUGUAGAAUAAGCACGGCUAACUCCGUGCCAGCAGCCGCGGUAAU
rnacentral:rRNA from 1 species